GCAUGGAGCCGACCUUGAAAUACCACCCUUUAAUGUUUGAUGUUCUAACGUGGACCCGUGAUCCGGGUUGCGGACAGUGUCUGGUGGGUAGUUUGACUGGGGCGGUCUCCUCCUAAAGAGUAACGGAGGAGCACGAAGGUUGGCUAAUCCUGGUCGGACAUCAGGAGGUUAGUGCAAUGGCAUAAGCCAGCUUGACUGCGAGCGUGACGGCGCGAGCAGGUGCGAAAGCAGGUCAUAGUGAUCCGGUGGUUCUGAAUGGAAGGGCCAUCGCUCAACGGAUAAAAGGUACUCCGGGGAUAACAGGCUGAUACCGCCCAAGAGUUCAUAUCGACGGCGGUGUUUGGCACCUCGAUGUCGGCUCAUCACAUCCUGGGGCUGAAGUAGGUCCCAAGGGUAUGGCUGUUCGCCAUUUAAAGUGGUACGCGAGCUGGGUUUAGAACGUCGUGAGACAGUUCGGUCCCUAUCUGCCGUGGGCGCUGGAGAACUGAGGGGGGCUGCUCCUAGUACGAGAGGACCGGAGUGGACGCAUCACUGGUGUUCGGGUUGUCAUGCCAAUGGCACUGCCCGGUAGCUAAAUGCGGAAGAGAUAAGUGCUGAAAGCAUCUAAGCACGAAACUUGCCCCGAGA
rnacentral:rRNA from 1 species